rnacentral:rRNA from 1 species
ACGUACAAGCAGUGGGAGCACAGGUUUACCUGUGUGACUGCGUACCUUUUGUAUAAUGGGUCAGCGACUUAUAUUCUGUAGCAAGGUUAACCGAAUAGGGGAGCCGGAGGGAAACCGAGUCUUAAUUGGGCGUUAAGUUGCAGGGUAUAGACCCGAAACCCGGUGAUCUAGCCAUGGGCAGGUUGAAGGUUGGGUAACACUAACUGGAGGACCGAACCGACUAAUGUUGAAAAAUUAGCGGAUGACCUGUGGCUG